AUCUGCUCUGACGCUGGAGCCGAGAUCUGCCCCGAGAGCUUGGCCGCCCCCGUGAGCGCGAAGAAGCCACCCAGCAGGACGCGCAGAGCGGCGAGCCCGAGCGCCAUGGCCGCGCAGUAUGACUGAGUAGAGUCAGACUCCAGGAGUAACCAUCUACACGUGCCUCGCAGAAGACCGGGGUUUCCUUCCAGCCUGAGCCACCCUAGCUUUGGGAUCUGAGCUGCCACCUAACUUCCUCGGGCCUCACUAUUUGCAUCUGUAAAAGCGAUUAAGCCUCUUCUCCUUAGGAACAGGCCUAGCACAAUGUCUGGCACCUGUAAGAGCUCAAACGUUAUUUGUAAAUUAGUAAAUUAUGAAAUCAUUAAUAAUAAAUUGGUAGCAAGUAA